AACGAACGCUGGCGGUAUGCUUAACACAUGCAAGUCGAACGAACAAAAUUGUGGCUUGCUCCAAUUUUAGUGAGUGGCAAACGGGUGAGUAACACGUGGGAAUCUACCUAUCAGUACGGAAUAACAUUUGGAAACAGAUGCUAAUACCGUAUAUUCUCCAAGGAGGAAAGAUUUAUCGCUGAUAGAUGAGCCCGCGUAAGAUUAGGUAGUUGGUAGGGUAAUGGCCUACCAAGCCGACGAUCUUUAGCUGGUCUGAGAGGAUGAUCAGCCACACUGGGACUGAGACACGGCCCAGACUCCUACGGGAGGCAGCAGUGGGGAAUAUUGGACAAUGGGCGAAGGCCUGAUCCAGCAAUACCGCGUGAAUGAUGAAGGCCUUAGGGUUGUAAAGUUCUUUUAGUUGGAAAGAUAAUGACGGUACCAACAGAAAAAGCCCCGGCUAACUCCGUGCCAGCCGCCGCAGUAA
rnacentral:rRNA from 1 species